ensembl:snRNA U2 U2 spliceosomal RNA
AUCGCUUCUCGGCCUUUUGGCUAAGAUCAAGUGUAGUAUCUGUGCACACAUGCGCACCACAA